AAAUAUGUAAUUAUUUAGUUUAUUAAUAGUAAUAAUUAUAAAAUAUUGUUUAAAAUAAAAAAAAUGAAAAAUUAUGUGAGAUAUUUGUGUGGAUAUCAAAAGAACACCUUUGAUGCUCCAGCUUUCGGAUUGGUGCCUGGUGAGGAGCUUUUCAUGACGUCGUCGACGAUUGGGCGAAUGCAGCUUUUGAGUUUUUAAUUCACGCACGUAUCGUGCAUGUUGAUCCAAAGUUUGACUUAACGAGUUUCGAGCUUUGGCACCAUGCUAAAAACCGAGAGGGAAUAUACCAAACGCAAAAGGUUUAAUGAAGAUGAUAAAAAUGGGAAUGGGGGUCGUGUUUUGCAUUUUUUUGCCUUUGAAGCUUCGGGUUGCGUACGUGGAACAGCACACCGCAAAAGCGUUUUGAUUAUGUGCGCGCAAAGGUUAAAAAGAAGCUCGCUGGAAUUGUGAAACACAAAAAGUCGCGUACAUUCCAUGAUGAAAACCUUUGAUCUACAUAAUUAUCAACACACAUCUUUCUUGUUACAGUUGAAAACAUGUCAAAUCAUGAUUUUAACAAUAAUUACAUAACUAUCGUGAUAAA